rnacentral:rRNA from 1 species
UACGGAGGGUGCAAGCGUUAUCCGGAUUCACUGGGUUUAAAGGGUGCGUAGGUGGGCUGGUAAGUCAGUGGUGAAAGCCCCAAGCUUAACUUGGGAACUGCCAUUGAUACUGAUGGUCUUGAGUACAUUUGAGGUGGGCGGAAUGUGUCAUGUAGCGGUGAAAUGCUUAGAUAUGACACAGAACACCGAUUGCGAAGGCAGCUCACUAAACUGUAACUGACGCUGAGGCACGAAAGCGUGGGGAGCAAACAGG